rnacentral:rRNA from 1 species
AGAGUUUGAUCAUGGCUCAGGAUGAACGCUAGCGGCAGGCUUAAUACNNGCAAGUCGAGGGGCAGCGGGGGUAGCAAUACCUGCCGGCGACCGGCAAACGGGUGCGGAACACGUACACAACCUUCCUUUUGGUGGGGGAUAGCCCAGAGAAAUUUGGAUUAAUACCCCCGUAGUAUUGAUGAGUGGCAUCACUUAUCAAUUAAAGAUUUAUUGCCAGAAGAUGGGUGUGCGUCUGAUUAGGUAGUUGGUAGGGGUAACGGCCCACCAAGCCUGCGAUCAGUAACUGGUGUGAGAGCACGACCAGUCACACGGGCACUGAGACACGGGCCCGACUCCUACGGGAGGCAGCAGUAAGGAAUAUUGGUCAAUGGACGCAAGUCUGAACCAGCCAUGCCGCGUGGAGGAUGAAGGUCCUCUGGAUUGUAAACUUCUUUUAUCUGGGAAGAAAUGCAUCUUUUCUAGGGUGUUUGACGGUACCAGAUGAAUAAGCACCGGCUAACUCCGUGCCAGCAGCCGCGGUAAUACGGAGGGUGCAAGCGUUAUCCGGAUCCACUGGGUUUAAAGGGUGCGUAGGUGGGCAGUUAAGUCAGUGGUGAAAUCUCCGGGCUUAACCCGGAAACUGCCAUUGAUACUAUCUGUCUUGAAUGUCGUGGAGGUAAGCGGAAUAUGUCAUGUAGCGGUGAAAUGCUUAGAUAUGACAUAGAACACCAAUUGCGAAGGCAGCUUACUACACGAAUAUUGACACUGAGGCACGAAAGCGUGGGGAUCAAACAGGAUUAGAUACCCUAGUAGUCC